rnacentral:rRNA from 1 species
UACGUAGGGGGCAAGCGUUGUCCGGAUUUAUUGGGCGUAAAGCGCGUGUAGGUGGCCAAGUAGGUCCGCUGUGAAAACUUGAGGCUCAACCUCAAGCUGUCGGUGGAAACCCCUUGGCUAGAGUCCGGAAGAGGAGAGUGGAAUUCCUGGUGUAGCGGUGAAAUGCGCAGAUAUCAGGAAGAACACCAUGGCGAAGGCAGCUCUCUGGGACGGUACUGACACUGAGACGCGAAAGCGUGGGGAGCGAACAGG